rnacentral:tRNA from 2 species
CAGAGGGUAGUUUUAAUUAAAAAUAUUAAUUUUGGAGAUUAAAGAUAUUAGGUUUCCUCUGA